ACCAGGAUGGCCGAGUGGUUAAGGCGUUGGACUUAAGAAUCAAUGGGCAAAUUCCCGCAUGGGUUCGAACCCCACUCCUGGUA